GGAAGAUAUGUGUAAUUUUCUUUAUCUGAUACAAAAUUAGUGCAACUUUGAAAUAACUGCAUACAGAAUGCCUGAAGUGAAGACCAUAUUGCUUCUCAUUGAAAAAGUCAAGAACAAACUCUGAACCCCCUUUUGAGCAAAAAGUGCCCAUGGAAUGGAAGCAGCCUGGAAUGCUUGGUUUCUACAUGGAGAGAUUCCUGAAUCCACAGAAGCUUCAGAGUGAACAAAUGAAGGCAUGGAGCUCAACCCAGACAAUCCACCAGGGUCUGACUUCACUCCUCAUCUUUGACUCCCUUGUGUCUUACCCUGCGAUCUUAAAUGGAGGGAAUUAAUAGAGGAAGGGAAUCAUGAGGGAGGGAGAAGAGAAGAGUAUAGGGGAGCACUGGCAAUGAUAUCUACCAAAUUUUGCUAUGCCCUUAUAUGCACAUACCCUACAAUGAAUCCUACAUAUAUAUAAUUAUAAUGCACUAUAAUAAUAAUAAUAAUAAUAAUAGAAGGGAGAUGGGGAGAGGGAUGACUAGAGUGAAAGGUAAGGUACUGGGGAAUGAGACUGAUGAAAUUGU